rnacentral:rRNA from 1 species
UUGAAGGCUGAAAUUCGCCUUCAUGAAGCCGGAAUUGCUAGUAAUGGCAGGUCAGCAUACUGCCGUGAAUACGUUCCCGGGCCUUGUACACACCGCCCGUCACACCAUGAGAGUUGGGAAUACCCGAAGCCUGUGAGCUAACGAAAGAGGCAGCAGUCGAAGGUAGAAUCAAUGAGUUGGGGUAAAGUCGUAACAAGGUAGC